AUGAGGGCUACACAGCGCUCCACCUUGCUGCUAUUCAUGGACAUCACCAUAUUAUUCAGAUGCUCAUCAAUACCUACAAUGCCAGUGUCCACAUCAGAGACUAUCAUGGGAAGAUGCCCAUGCACUACUGGAGCGGCAGCAUGGAUGUGUUCAGCAGGCUGGGCUCGCAGGCCUGUGGGAAGUGGUCCAGAGGAAGGAGAGCCCAGCGUUAUGCCUACCUGCCAUCCCUGCUCAGCUCCCGCUCCCGCAGCCAGGGACACCUCAGCUUGGAGCUGGUGGCUGAAACAGAGCCUCCUGUCCCCCCCACACGUGCCCGCUCCCCGUCCUGACCCCCCAGCACACACAUGCACAGAGUCAAAACCCCCAACCAUACCAUGCCGCCAUACACUGCAUUCAAAAUGGCUGUGGGUCAAGUUGUCUUGCACUUCCAAUUCAGAAUGGGCUUUACUCUAAGGUAUUGCACAAUCUCAUUAUCACUGAAUAUUUUUUUGCAUAUUUAACUACACUUUUUUAAUUAGAAAGUAUUUUAUUAUUCAUGCACAUAAUUUGACUCGAGCUCAUGUUGCUGGUUUUCCCCUCUACAAACGAAAGGCAAAGCGGUACAAAGAAGAAUCAAAAAAGCUGUUCUUUUCUGCUACAGAAAGUUCCAGUUUGUAGUCUUUAACGUGCAAGUGAUUCAACCUUAUACGCUCAUAAUGGCUCGCUUUUAAUUUAGCUAAUAGCUAUCAUGUUAUGUACCUUUAGAAAUUUGCUAAAUUCACAGCACUGGGAGUUGUCUCUCAAUGCGCUACUAGUAAGUAGUUUGCUUUGUUUGGCUUUGACGUUGAAAGUGUUUGCUCAGGGUACGGCUCCUUGAUGUAUUAUUAAAAUUGGAAAUGGACUCCUGGGACACCAUCUAGUUAUAUGCUUUCAUUUGCUGGAUAAACCCAGCGUUGUUUUCAUCUUUUCUCAUGAUUGUUAAUGGCACCACUGAUGAGUAGGGUGUUUUUAUUUUUAUAUAUAUAUAUAUAUAUAUAUAUAUAUAUAUAUAUAAAAUAUAUUCUCCGCACUGCCUUUAUCAGUGCAGGCCUUAUUAUGCAGGCGAAAUAGCCAAGCUGCUGAUUUUGUUUAAGGUUUCAAUUAGUCAUCUGACUGAACACAUCUGUUCCUGGCGGCUGCCCCAGACUGGAGCAGUCCUAUUACCCACUCCAACAUGCUGAAGCUCCACGGCAGGUCGGGCCAAACCAGGCCACAGGGACAUGGUCCUGGUGCAGGCUUCUAGAUUUGUUAUAUAAUCAUGUCCGU
rnacentral:lncRNA from 1 species